rnacentral:rRNA from 1 species
CCUGCUCAGUGCAGAGGUAAAUUGCUGCGGUAUUCUGACCGUACGAAGGUAGCAUAAUCAGUUGUCUUUUAAUUGGAGACUGGAAUGAAUGGUGUAAUAAGAAAGAGACUUUUAAGGGGCUAAAUUGGAAGUUAAUUAUUAAGUUAAAAGGCUUAAAUAAUAAAAAGUGACAAGAAGACCCUAGAAGUUUGAUACUUGGUAGUUUUGUGUGACUAGUGUGUUUAGCUAAAAUGCUGCUAUAGUGUUUAACUGGGGCGGUUAAAAUGAUAUCUAUUGUUGAAUAAUACUUAAUCAAGAGGAUUGUUUGUAGUUAUAUAUCCUUGUUGGAAUGCGGUGAUAAUUACUCUAGGGAUAACAGCAUAAUCUUCUCUGAGAGACCUUAUUGACGGGAGGGUUUGUGACCUCGAUGUUGGAUUUGAAUAACUGUAAGGAGCAGAAUUUUUACAAGUUGGUUUGUUCAACCAUUAAAUGUCAACGUGAUCUGAGUUCAAACC